AUUGAACGCUGGCGGCAGGCCUAACACAUGCAAGUCGAGCGAGUGGCGGACGGGUGAGUAAUGUCUGGGAAACUGCCUGAUGGAGGGGGAUAACUACUGGAAACGGUAGCUAAUACCGCAUACCAUCGGAUGUGCCCAGAUGGGAUUAGCUAGUAGGGGGGGUAACGGCUCACCUAGGCGACGAUCCCUAGCGGGUCUGAGAGGAUGACCAGCCAAACUGGAACUGAGACACGGCCCAGACUCCUACGGGAGGCAGCAGUGGGGAAUUUUGCACAAUGGGCGCAAGCCUGAUGCAGCCAUGCCGCGUGUAUGAAGAAGGCCUUCGGGUUGUAAAGUACUUUCAGCGGGGAGGCGUUACCCGAAGAAGAAGCACCGGCUAACUCCGUGCCAGCAGCCGCGGUAAUUC
rnacentral:rRNA from 1 species